UUCAGAAAGGAAAAUAAGAAGGUCAAGUAACAAAAUGUCAUUUACAAUUACGGAAAAGAAAACACAAGGCGCAUUCAUCUUUGCUAGGUUUGGCCUUGUUUUUUAACUUUGGACAGUCUUUCUUCCCGUACCCCUUUUCUUGGCAAAAGACGCAUUCAUCUUUGUUGGGUCUUGAUCUUGACUUCAAUCUUCCUUUCUUCGUUCUCAUUUGGUUUUGAAAACGACCUUACAACCAGUGCUUCUCCUUCUCCACUCUUUUGCUUUUUUCUCUUUCUUUGUUCAUAGUUGUAUAAGGCAUAACAAACUUCUUUGAGAGAUACUUCAUCAUUCCCAUGAAGUAAAGUUGUUUCGAGUUGUUCGUACUCAUCGGGAAGUGAAUUUAAUAACAUUAAGGCCAUAUCUCUAUCACUAAAAGUCACGUCCAUAUUUUGCAAAUCUGUAGCCAACUCAUUAAAGCUGGUGAUAUGAUCAUUCAUUGUAGUACCAGGAACAUAUGUGAAGCGUAACAGUCUUUUUUUCAUGAAAAGUUUAUUUUGACUGUUUUUCUUCAAGAAUUUAUCAUCCAAUGCAUUCCACAAUUUACUUGCAGAAGUUUCUUUUGAGUAUGGAUACUUCUGUUCUCUUGCGAGGUAAGAUCGAAUGGUACCACAAGUAAUGCGGUUGAUAAUCUUUCAAUCUUUUUCUCUAAUAUUGUCUGGUUUAUUUUGUUCUAUGGCAAUAUCUAGCCCUUGUUGAAAAGGACAUCAAGAACCUCAGCUUGCCACAUCCCAAAAUAUCCCGACGCGUCAAAAAUUUCAACUACAAAAUUUGCAUUUGACAUAAUUCUUGUCAUAAGCGAAGAUGCUAACGACGUAUUACUGACACCCGAUGUGGACUCUUCAUUUUUAUUAUCUCCCAUUUUUGCUACAGAUACUAUUUAUUUACUGACAGUACAGAACACCAAAGUAAUUUUUUUCUGAUGUGGAAGUUCACCACAGAGCAUAUUCAGAUAGAACCUUGGCUCCGAUACCAAUUGUUGCGGAAGCCGAAUAUAUAGAGAGUGAUUAAAUCACAGCUACUAUAUCUAAAUGUAGCUAAUAAAUAGUAAAUGAGACAAUAAUAAAAAGACACUAGAAUUAACGAGGUUCGGNNNNNNNNNNNNNNNNNNNNNNNNNAUUAAGUGUGAUCAUGCAAUGUAAAUUCAUGAAAAAAUGCAUCUACCAAUUUCUUUCUAAAAGGAGGCUUCAAAUGUCCACACUAGUUCACAACUUCACAUUAAUCUUGUCAAAUUCAACAUAAGGAAUAUGGAUUCUUUUAAUAUUGAUAAAUUCAUUUUCCAUAAUUGCGCUCUUCUCUCUCUCUCUCUCUCUCUCUCUCUCUUCUUAGACAUAUUGUCCUCCUUAUAUCCCAUGUGUAUUUUAUUUUUAGGUUUUAACUUAUAUAUAAUAACAAUAUAAAUAAUUUUCAUAUUGUAUUAAAUAAUUAGUUAGAGAAAAUUAUUAAAUGCCUGGGUUAUUUUUAUUAUUUAAUAUUUAAGUUAUCAAAUUAGGAUUACUAUAGGCAGCUACAAAAGGGAAGUCUUCGCACAAAGUCAAAAGUUGUGGUCCUAGCCAUAUGAUCAGGAGGUCAUGGGUUCUUACUGCUGAAACAACCUCUUAUAGAAAAUGCAAGGUAAGGGUGUCAUCAGAUCCACCCAAUAGAGUCUAGUUGUUUCCUCAACUCUGAGCAUAGCGAAAACUUAGUGCACCAGACUACGCUUUAUAAACAUUUGCCGUUGUUACAAGUUAUCAUCACCUAAUGCACAAAAGCUAAACUCUUCUUUUUAUAGGGAAAAUUUCCAUUUGAGCUCUAUGUACUUCUCCCCACCCCCUUCUUGCCACCAUAUUAUUCAUUGGAUGGUCCAUCAAUUUCCAUUUUUAUAAAAGUAGAACAUGCAUGCAUUACAUUCCCCAACAAAUAAUAAUGCAGCAUUGCUUCUAUGAAUCGAUUUAGUUGCUCGUUUUUAUUAUCUCCUUUUCUUUCUUCUUUUCCUUGAGAUCGGGACUAAAGAAAAAAGAACAAGAGAACAAAUUGAAUAACUAGAUUGUAAUGGUUGCCCCUACUGCUAUGGGAAAUAUAGCUAUAUAUAGUUAUAUUUGUUGGUUAUGAACUGAAUGUUUACACAAAUUAAUAAAGGAAAUUAAAUUGUACAGACUACUUCAGAAAGGAAAAUAAGAAGGUCAAGUAACAAAAUGUCAUUUACAAUUACAGAAAAGAAAACACAACAUGAUUUACAUAGCGAUCAUGAAAAAAACAAAAAAGCAAAAUUAAAUUGAAGCACAACCAAUCUAGAAAACUAAAUCAUCCUAUAAUAGAAAAAGAAUACAAACCGUGAUUUACACAACGAUGACAAAGGUAAGUACGUGAACCAUAACUCAAGAGUAAUUGUCCCAACACAAAAGCAUAGUUAUACAAAUCCUCAUAAUAUAGAGCUUCCCCUUCUGUUGUUUCACCAUUCUUUUUACCUUUUCAAACCUCAGCAGCUUCUUCAUUCUUUCUCUUAGUUUAAUGAGUUCUCUAACUAAAAAUUUGCACUAAGAAUUCACUAAUUAUAGCUACUCGAUCAAAAACUCCAAAGGGACCUUCUAUUUAUAGUACAUGAAGACAUGACUUAACUUAAUUGUAUAUAUAGAUAGAUCCAUCAUAUGCAAGAAGGAGACUGUACCAACAAAGGUUGUGAUAUAGUGGUAAAUACUCCUUCAACUUUAACUAGAGGUCUCAGGUUCGAGCCCUUGAUAUAUAGUCAUUUUUACUAGGGAAUGCUUUACCCCUGAUGUGGGACUUCCAAACUCGAAUCUAGAUUUAAUUGGGCCUAAUUACGAGUACCCGGACACCGAAUAAGAAACAGAGAAAAUGCAGACUAAAUUUAGGUCAAUAUUAGAGUAGGGACACAGUGCACCCUGAGAUAACAUCCAUG
rnacentral:lncRNA from 1 species